CUCCACUCUCUCUAAAAAUCAAUGGAAAAAAUAUCCUCACUCCUCAGGCCCAGUCAGGGACACAUUCCAGUUGGUUUCUAUCAAAAAUAAAUCAACACAAGUCAUCAA